CCUACGGGUGGCAGCAGUGGGGAAUAUUGCACAAUGGGGGAAACCCUGAUGCAGCGACGCCGCGUGCGUGAAGAAGUAUUUAGGUAUGUAAAGCUCUAUCAGCAGGGAAGAAAUAGCGAACUUUGGGUCGCCGGACGGUACCUGAUUCAGAAGCCCCGGCUAACUACGUGCCAACAGCCGCGGUAAUACGUAGGGGGGAAGCGUUAUCCGGAUUUACUGGGUGUAAAGGGAGCGUAGACGGCAGGACAAGUCUGAAGUGAAAUGCCGGGGCUGAACCCCGGAACUGCUUCGGAAACUGUGCAGCUAGAGUGCAGGAGAGGUAAGGGGAAUUCCUGGUGUAGCGGUGAAAUGCGUAGAUAUUAGGAGGAACACCAGUGGCGAAGGCGGCUUACUGGACUGUAACUGACGUCGAGGCUCGAAAGCGUGGGGAGCAAACAGGAUUAGAUACCCUUGUAGUC
rnacentral:rRNA from 1 species